rnacentral:lncRNA from 1 species
CGGAUUCGAUGACUACCUCUAUGCCUAUGGCGUAGCAAAACUGCCCGUUUCAACAUCAGCUCUCAUUGUCGCAAGCCAGCUCGCUUUCACAGCAGCCUUCGCGUUCCUCUUGGUGAAACAAAAGUUCACCUCAUACUCCGUAAAUGCCAUAUUUCUGUUGAGUAUCGGUGCCGGUGUCUUGGCUUUACACACUAGCUCCGACCGCCCUACUAAUGAGUCCAACAAAGAAUAUUACCUCGGGUUUGUCAUGACACUUGCAGCUGCAGCGCUCUAUGGUUUCAUUCUCCCCUUGGUUGAAUUAACCUACAAGAAAACAAAGCAGGCAAUAACCUACUCACUGGUCAUGGAGAUUCAAAUGGUGAUGUGCUUCUUCGCCACCGUCUUUUGCACAGUGGGGAUGUUGGUUAAUAAUGACUUUCAGGUGCAUUUCUCUUUUCUCUCCACUCAAUUACCCUAACAUAUUCAACCAGAUAGAAGAUUGAUAAUUUAUGUUUGCUUCUUCCUCAUUUAAUUUUGUAGGCAAUUUCCAGAGAAGCAAAAGAAUACGAGCUUGGAGAAGCUAAAUAUUAUCUGGUGGUGGUAUGGAAUGGGAUCAUAUGGCAGUGUUUCUUCUUAGUAUCAAUAGGAGUCAUCUUUAGCGCUUCAUCUUUGGUAUGCGGUAUUGUGAUUACUGUCCUACUCCCCGUGACAGAGAUCUUGGCUGUUAUUUUCUUCCGAGAAAAAUUUCAAGCAGAGAAGGGGGUUUCACUGGCUCUCUCUCUGUGGGGCUUUGUUUCCUACUUCUACGGCGAGAUAAAGGAUAGCAAGAAAAAGAAGAAUCCCACUUCCGAGACGGAGCUGCCUCAAACGGUCAAUCCAUGACAAACAAAUAUCUUUCUUAUUCCCCGGAAGGCAAGGGACAGGAUUACAUAUAAGCAUUUACCAGGUAAUUUAAAGAAAUACUUCGUCCGUAUGUUAACAGGCAGUUUAGCUGAUUCACCAAAUCUGUGUAAAGGAAAUGCUUGAAUUUCGUUCCUAAAUACAUGCUUGAAUAUUGAAUUUACUUGAAUUCUACAACCGCUGUGAGCGGAACAUGUUGAAAAUGAGAUCAUUUAAUUGUUCUAUAUAAGAUAAUUUCAAGAAUGAGCAAGUCUUGUUUUUUUAGUUUUCAAUUUUAGUGGUUUAUGAAAUCACAGAAAAAAGAUCAUGGGUGUUUUCAAAUUUAGAGUUUUUAUCUACCAUCAACUCAACAACCUCUGAUCCCAAUAACCACUUGCACUCAUUUGGAGGUAGGUGUCAACUACUCUCGUCAACUGCCACAGUAUCAAAUGAACCACAACAACUAUAUUUUCCAUAUUUUGUAGUGGAUGAUAUUGAUAUGAAGCGAAUAAGACGCGAGCUGCGCUCACAGGCUAGGACUUUAAUUGGUGAAGCCUCCCAACUCAUAUAGUCAACUCGCUCGAAAUUCAGUUGUUAAAGUUUUCUAAUAAAUAAAACAGUUAUUUUAAAAUAUAAAAAUUUAAAUUAUAUCAUAAAAUACUAAGGUAAAGAAAUUAGAAAAUACUAAAAUAUCAAUUCCAUAUAUAUCAAGCUUUCGAUUUUGAUCAUUAAAAGUAUAUAAUAAAAUUUAAGCCUGUGAAUAAUGAUUACUACUCAAAAAGUGUUAUUUGAUAGCCUGUAAUUAAUCCUUUUAAACACUUUUGAGUAGUAGUUUAGGCCUUUUAACUCAAUUGGCAUGUUAAGGAUCCUUUAAAGCAAUUUUGAUCACUUUGUGUAAGUUUUGGUGUUUUUGUUAGUAUUUUGAUCACCAAAACAAGUCAAGACUGAGGAGAGCUAUGAGGAAUCUUGGGUAAAGCUUAGAAGUCAUUUUCCAAGAGUGAAUCCGGAUUGCAAGGAGAAAAAGCAAAGAGAAUCUGCCAUAAAGCAUAUUCUUGAUGACAGUCGUAGCAGCCACUUUUAGAGCACUUUAUGAAGUCCAAAUGAUGCAUGCUAUAUACCAUUUUAAAGCUCAGGAAGUCAACAAUCCAAUGCUUCAAACGGUGUGCAAUUCGGAGUUGAAACGAAGAAGUUGCAGCCAUUACAAGCCAAUCACUCCGAGCUGAAGAAAACAUUUUGCAAAGUGCUGCGAAAUCACCCUUUUGUUGCGAAGUGAUUUCGCAGCAUUUUUGUACAGUAAGGUGUUUCUCCUUCUGACGAUGCACGAACCAUGCCGCGAGAAGGGAGCUGGGAACCUCAAGGUGGAAGCCAACUUCGCAGCCAUGUGAAGAUAGCUCGGUGUUGCGAAAUAAUUUCGCAGCCCUCUUGGGUGUCUGCGAAAUUUCGCAGACACCAUAUUUCUCCUGCGAAAUGGUUCCUGAAGCCUCCCGAAGCUUGCUACCGACAUUGGGAGAUAUUUUCCAUUAGAUUUUUGUUGUCUAAAUCCCAAAAUACUCCUUGUAAACCACCAAUUACAUGAUUCCUUAGUUUUUAAGUUAGUAAAAAGACUAAAUAUCUUUGUAACAAUUAGUUUUAUAUUAUGUUGAUAUAUAUACCUCUCGAGAGCCUGUUCUCAGGGAGGAGUUCCUUUUGUAAACCGUUUGGGUAAGCAAGUAAAGGUCUUUUUCUUUCUACUGCCUUACCUUCUCACUUUGUAUUUUCAGUUUAUUUCUAAGUUAUGAAUUCUCUGAGGAGUUUUCCCCAGAGAAUGAGUAACUAAACCUCUAAUUCCUUGGAGCUAAGGUUGCCGGGGAAGGUUCCAAGUGCAAGAAUGCAAAGCUUUGUGGUUUUAGCUAGUAAUGAAGAGGAAGUGAAAUCCUUUAGUGAUUUCUAUGUUUUUAGUUAACUUAAAACACCUUGGAGUUACCUGGGCCAACACUUGGUAAGGCAAGUGAUUUUCAACCAUGGAAAUGCACUAGUUUACCCCUUGCGAGCCUCUGGGAGGUGACUUCAGGGUAGGAUUUUCUAGAAUAGCCAACACUUGGUAAGCUUUUGGACUCCUAGGAGGCAUCCAUUAGUUAUCUCUUGCGAGCUUUUGACGGGUAAUCCAAGGUUAAAGAUCACCUUGAAUGGUUAAGGCUUAGUGAGAGGCUUAAACCAUUGCAAGUUGCAUCAGUGAGAGAAUUAAAGUGAAAUCUAAUUGAAGGAGUCUCUGUACAUCACCGGUUAGAGAAUUGACUAUGUGUUGAAUCUCUAAUGCGAGGAAAUGAACCAUCUGACCAAAGCCGUGUCUUUUGCAUGAGGAACCACCCCAGUGAACCUAAAUCUCUAAGGAAUGCUUUUCUUCCUAAAUUAUUCCAAACUUCUGUUAAGUUAGUUAGUUUAAGUCUCAACUUUUACCAAUCAAAGUUUGUGUUUUACUUCUUAAGCUAACCAUAAAAUGAAACAAGACCAAUUCACUUGGAAUUGGUAUCAUUGAUUGCUUGUUAGUCAUUCCCAGUGAACGACCCUAGAGCCACUAUACUAUAGUAGCUUUUUCUUUGCUACCCUAGUGUAUGGUGUUAUAGGUAAUAAAUUUUGUUGAUCACUUCCUCAAUCAAGGAGCACCAGCUGAACACCAAUCAGCUGAGACACCAAUUGAGCAUGAAUCAAAUAAGAUUACGAAUAUAUGGAUUCAAUAUAUAAACGAGUGGGAUGGAACAUGACUCAAAUGAAUAAGGCAUAAAAAAGACAAAUAAUAAUGAUGCCAGACUAUAUAUGUGAUAAUGAUGAUAGAUUGUAGAUGGAGAUGGAUUUCAUAUAAAAAUAAGGAUUUUAUAUUUAAAAUUCAUUUUUAAAGAAUAAAAUACAUUAAAAAACAGUUAAACAUAAAUCGAAGACUUUUUUACUUUAAAUUUCUCUCAAAAGGAAAUUUUAUAAAUAAAAUAAAUUUAUACGAGUAUUAAUCGACAAAAUUUCAAAUCAACAAUAAUUCUUGCAUUUGUAUCAAACUUUAAAAGAUGUAAGUGAAAUUAAUCCUAUUUUUGGAUUGUUAUUUAUAUCAAAUCUUCCCCAUCUUAAUUCCAACCCAAACCAAACUUGACAUGGAUUGGGUGGAACAACUUUAACAAAACUUCAAGUUGUCAUCUCUAAUGUUAGUUUGGAAUAGAAAAUAAAAAUGAAACAAUUUCAUUCUCCUCUAUUAAUGUAUCCAGACUAUUUAUUACGAUGAAAAUUAGAAUAAAAAGUUCAUUAGUAUAUAAACCAAAUCUGCCUAUGAAUAAAAAAACAGUAGAUAAAUACUCUAAGGUUACUUUGGAAUAGAGAAUAAGAAUGGAAGAAUUUCAUUCUUCUUUAUUAAUGGAUCCAGAUUGUUGUUUACAAUGAGAAUAAGAGAAUUAGAAUAAAAAUUUCGUUAGUAGGUAAACCAAAUCUGCCAAUGAAAAAAAAAGACCACAGAUAAAUCAAAUCUCACUUUUACAAUAAUUUUGAUUCAUUCUUUUGUACAUGAUAGUGUGAUUCACUUUCAUUCUCUUUCUAUUCCACUUUUCUACUUUUCCACCUACCACUCAUCCUAGUCGUAAUGUGAUUAUUGUGUCUCGUAUCUUUGGUAAAGAGAACCAACCGACUAUAUCUCAACAAAGCGUCCAUCAUUUAUGCCAUGCAGCGUACAUCAUGCGAAAGAGCCAAUGAGCGUUUCACAUAUGGUAUAGCAAAACUGCCCAUUUCAACAUCUGCUCUCAUUAUCGCAAGCCAGCUCGCUUUCACAGCAGCCUUUGCAUUCCUCUUGGUGAAACAAAAGUUUACUUCAUACUUCGUAAAUGCCAUAUUUCUUUUGAGUAUCGGUGCUGGUGUCUUGGCUCUACACAAUAGCUCUGACUACCCCGCCAACGAAUCUAACAAAGAAUAUUAUCUCGGGUUUUUCAUGAUACUAGCAGCUGCAACGCUCUAUGGUUUCAUUUUCCCGUUGGUUGAAUUAACCUACAAGAAAGCAAAGCAGGCAAUAACCUACUCACUGGUCAUGGAGAUUCAAAUGGUGAUGUGCUUCUUCGCCACCGUCUUUUGCACAGUGGGGAUUGUUGAUGCCUCGCGUCCCAGGGAUCCACACAGCUGCCAAGUGGACGCGCGCUUUCAACCAAGAAUGAAUUCUGGCUCAGUCGAUCCUGCAAAAGAUGUCCGGACACAUCCUCCGAUGGUUUUGUUAGUCAUGGCUCAAUGGAUCAGGCUGUUGCCCUUUUUUCUGAGUUAGCUGACUUACCUUCUUCUUUGCAUGAAGGUUCUUUUAUAUAGUGUCAGAAGCUCCGCUCCCCUCUUUAAUGGCGGGAAGACUUUUUGGCUUGUCAUGAUGUCCCUGAGGUGAUGGCAGAAUCAUCAUCACCUUCCAAACGGCUGUUAGAAAUCGUGGGAGGUGACUUGUCAUCACUCCUGUCCUUUCGCUCUACAGGCGGCGAAACGUGGGCUAUGACAGGUUGUCUGGGGUGACUCAGCAUGGCUUACUUUUUAUGGUCAAUGAUCCGGACAAUGUAUUCGGAUAGAAUAGAGCACAGUCCGGGUAUAAUAUUUGAGAGUGUCGUGUGUCUCCUUGAGGGACCUGGAUAGAGCUGGCGUGCCAUGUGGACUCUGAGGGGGUCCCUACAAUGCCCCCCUUUUAACCUGGCGAUUUUGUCCUGGCAGAAUGGGUAGGUUAAAAAAAAUGAUGACUUUGAAAGUUUGGUUGUUUUUUGCGUUUAUUGUGCCAUGUGGCGGUGCGGAGGCGAAAAGAAGGAAGAGCAUUUAUGGCGAGCCGCCAUCCUUGGGAAUUCCUAUGCGGCAUGUCGUUUCAAUAGCAGCGUGGCUGGGAGUUUGGAAUACCGAGGGGUUGUCUCCCUUUAAAUAGUAGACCCAGCCCCCACAACUGCAUUUCUUCCUUCUGCAUUUCUGUUGCUAGUGUUUUCGUUUAGGUUCUUUGUGUAUUCUUGCCUGUGAGUGAAGUUCUAGGGCUUUUGCUAGCGACAUUCGCGUCGUGAGGGUGACUGCAUCGCGGCCUUCGUCCUCAUUUGCCAGUUUGCACCAGGUACGUUCUCUAUUUCUACCUUCUCUCCAUUGGGUUUCUUUUUUAUUUUAUCUUGCUUGUUAGGUAGGUUGCUUGCGAUUGAGGGUCGGUGCUGGUGUUUAGGGAUUUUUCCGGGGGGGGGGGGGGGGGGNNNNNNNNNNNNNNNNNNNNNNNNNNNNNNNNNNNNNNNNNNNNNNNNNNNNNNNNNNNNNNNNNNNNNNNNNNNNNNNNNNNNNNNNNNNNNNNNNNNNUUUGGGGUUUUUCCAAGCCACUUUCGGUUGGGGGGGGGGAGUGCUUGGGGCCUUUCUCCUUUUUUUCCCGUUUUCCCCCGGGACCUUUUUUUUUUUCUCCUUUUUCCCCAGGGGUUUUUUUUUUUUUUUUUUUUUCUUUUUUGGGUGGUUGUUUGGGGUUGGGGGGGGGGGGUGGGUUUUUGGGAUUUUUCCGGGGGGGGGGGGGGGGGGGGGUUUGCUUUCGUUUUGGGCCUGUUGGGGUUCCUGUUGCCCCCUAUAGCCUUUGCGGGUGACUGGUCCUACUUUGGGGUAGAGUCAAGGGUUAGGUUGGGGAUGUUGGCUAUUUUAGGCUUUCUGGGCGUUUUUUGCUAUUAGGGUUAUGGGGCCGGGUCCUUCUAUUUUACUGUUGGCAUUUCGCCAUGCAGGUUCCGUUUCGGCCCCAUACUUUAAAAUGCCUGCGAAAAAGGACGUAGCUUCGUCCAGUGCGGUUGGGCCCAGCGGAAAGAAUGCGUCCGGGGUGGUCUAUGCGGAGAAGCCUGUUGACAAGCUGAACGUGAGGCAGUUUUGUGAACGCUUCUGCAUUCCGAACGGCGUAUCCGUUCAGCUUGUGGACGGAGAGGUCGUAUCCACCGAGAAAUCUGUGGACAACGCUAUCUAUUUCUCUAAGGAGCAAUUCAACGCGGGGCUUCGGUUCUUUCUCCCGUCUCUCUUCAAAGAGUUUCUUCACUUCACCAAGAUCCCUCCGGCCUACAUCCAUCCCAACAUAGUCCGGGUGUUGAUGGGGUGCAGCAUUUUGAACAUGUUGUUCAACUUGGAUCUUUUGCUGCUGGGGGUCCAUUUCAUCUACUCCAUCAAGAAGGGGAAAACUGACCUCUUCAACUUGUUUACCCAUAUCCCGUCCCUCCAAUUGGUGACUAAUCUCCCAGAUUCGAUGAAGGGGAGAGCCAAAGGACAUGUACUAGUCAAGGGUGUUUAGGCUGGACUGUCGGAACAUCCGGAGAGAUUGUUUUCCCUAAAUCGUUCACUGGCGCUCCCGGGGUAGGGUAGAUUUUCGAGUUUGUCCGGCGUGCAUUUCUUGUUCUUUUACUUUCGUGUUAUCAGAUGGCUAACUUUUUUGGUUGUGGGCAACGUAGGUAAGUCCAAGAGGGACCGCCUAGUCGAGUGGGUGGAGAAAGCCUCUUUUGAUCGCUUGAACAAGCUGUUCGAGAUUACUGCUACUAAGAGGCAUUAUCAGACGUUGCUCACUACUCGGAACCUGUUGGCAGUUGUCCGGGAGCCUCACCCGUACGUCACCAACAUUCUCCCUAGGCGAUUGCCAAAACGUGUAGUGUCUUGGGAGCAUUUUGUGUUGAAAGAUUUGCCCUUCUACGAGAGGGCUCGCAAGGCUAACACAAAGGCGCGCCAGGAGCGCCUUAACCAGCAAGAGGAGAAGAGGCAGAAGGGGACAUUGAGGAAAGCACCUGGUGAGAAGGGGCGCGACUCUUCCCCAGCCGCCUUCCCCCGGCCACAAAAGAAAAGAAGAAGACGAAGAAGACUCGUGCGCAGGUGCUCUAGAUAGUGGCCCCAACUCUUGAGGCUUCGUCUUCGUCUUGCAGGUCCGAGCCCAAUCAGCCGGACCACACUAUUCCGGAGUCUAAGGAGGUUGAGGAACCUGAGGCCAUCACCAGUUCGCCACAGCUUGAAACCUUCCAUCCGGGGCCUAGCUUUCCCCAGCCGCAGUCGGAGUUUGUUGGCUUGAGGGUCGUGGAUGAGCCAGAGGAAAUGAGAGAUGCAAACGACCUUAGGGCGGGGCUUUUGCAAAGACAUCGACCUUGGCCCCCCCAGUUAAGAAAGUUUGUCCGGAGCAGGGUGGAGAGGACCCGACGCCAGAAUUUUGGCUUCAGCUGUGACUCGUCCAGACGAGGUGGGUAUUAGCGCAACUUCCACGGCUCAGCCGGAUGCCGCAGGGUCUAGCGCGGCGGCAACGGUUCAGGCCAACGCUUCGGGGCCUAGCUCAACGACUGCUGCUCAAUCGAGUACAACUGCCUUCGGCAAUGCCCCGACUGCUGUGGAGACCCAUGCGUCAGAGGGGGUUCCGGAUGCGUCGAACGACGAGAAGGCUUCGGACGAAAAGAGCAGUCCUGCUGUUGCAGUUCCUCCAAGCUAGGAGGAAAUGAUGGAGAUGCUGAAAGGAGUGCCAUGCUUCACGGAUGUAGAGACGCCUUCCACGAGGAUGUCAGACUUCUUCCCUUUGACCAAACGUGUCUCUGUGAACAUGGGUGGGGACCCUCCUGCUUUUGUCAAGGCGCGGCUCCCUUUUGGCGCUCCUGAGUCCAUCGUAUCUUGCAUUCAACACCUAUAGGAAUGGACGAUUCCAGAGACUGUAGAAGUGGUAAAUACUUCUUUGCUGUUUUUCUCUUCUUUCUUAGCAGUUGCUACUUUUCCAUGUAACAUUGUCUGUUGUUUUGUUGUUGCUUUGCCCAUGUUGUAGCCGGCAUCCACUACAUGAUGUGCACACGCGAGCAGCUUUUCAAGCGGCUGGAAUUGGUGGAGGCCAUGCAUGCCUUUAUCUCCCAACAUCCGGGUGGCAUCGAGGAGCUGCGCGCCAAGUUGGAGAAGGUGGAGGCCGAAUUGGCCGCUGCUCGGAAAGCUGUGGCGGAUGGGACGGAGCAACUAGGUCGGGUUGAAGGGGAUAAGGAGACUAUCCGGGCCGAGGCUGACAUCCUGAAGAAAGAAAAGCAAGCCUUGGAGGGCUAAGUCAAUGCAGCUGGGCAGGAGAACCUCCAGUUGAAGAGAGAGACGGAUGAACUCCUGGAUAGCCUUGCCGCCCAGAAGAAGGAGUCAGAGGAUUUGCGGGAGGGUCUGGCGGCUCAAAAGGAGAAAAUGGAGGCUAGGUUCGCCGCUCAGAAGAAGGAGAUGGAGGAGGAAUACCAGAAGCAGGCAGACGAGAUGUAUUUCUUUGGCUACCGUUGUUGUAUGAAGAAACACGGAAUUAUGCAUGAUAUUCCUUCUUUCCUUUCUGAUGAGGAAGAUACAACACCUGGGGGUCCGUCCAGCUGAAACUUCCUUCUGUACAGACUUUAUAAUUUUUCCUCUUUGUUUUGCUGCACAUGGGGCAGUUAUUUUUGUAAAGACACUUUUUACUUAUUUAUAAAUACAUUACAUUUCUUCUGUUUUUUGCUUACUCCUCAUUUCCUUUCAUUGAUAAUACUGCUUAAGAUUGGAUACAUUUCAUGGACGGAGCAGCGAGGUUCCAUCUAGCUUCUAUAGAUGAUAGACUCCACUUUCACUUGUCUUGGACACAAUGUAAGGGUCUUCCCAAUUUGCUUGGAAUUUUCCUGCUCCCUUUUCAGCAGUGUUCUUGAAAACCUUUAUGAGGACCAACGUUCCACCUUUGAAGCUCUUGGGUCGUGCCUUGCGUUUGUAGUGAGCUGCCGCCCUUUGUAGGUAGUCGGUCAUUCGAAUGGAUGCGUUCUCUCUCACUUCAUCCACCCAGUCCAAAUUUCUUCCUAGUUCCACAUUUGCAUCACCCUGUCGUCCUACCUCAAUCCGGAUAGUGGGUAGGCCUAUUUCUGUAGGGAUGACUACAUCCAUACCGUAUGCGAGGGCGAAGGGAGUGUUUCCUGUUGGUCACCCGGGUGUGCUUCGAUAGGCCCAUAGGACGCCGGGUAACUCCUCUACCCACUUCCAUUUGGCUUGCCCGAGCCUCUUCUUUAAGGUAGUUACCAGGGUUUUGUUUUUGCCUCUGCCUGUCCAUUGCUUUGAGGAUAAUGUGGUGUGGAGUAUAAAUUCCAGAUGUUAAGUUCCGAACAGAAAUUCCAGAAAGUGAUGCUAUCAAACUGCGGGUCGUUAUCAGCUAUAAUGGUUUGAGGGAUUCCAAAGCGACAGAUGAUGUUCUUCCAUACGAACUUGGUGAUGUCUUUGUCCUUGAUGCUAGCGUAUGCUUCAUCUUCUACCCAUUUACUGAAGUAAUCUGUGGUGACGAGUAGAAAUUUCUUCUAGGCAACUGCGGCUGGUAGGGGUCUUACUAUGUCCAUCCCCCAUUGCGCGAAGGGUCAGAGGCUAGAAAUUAGUUUUAAUGUCUCAGAUGGUGCAUGCGGUAUGAGGGCAUGCCUCUGGCAUUUGUCACACUUCUUGACAUAAGCUGCCGCAUCUUUCUCAUCGUGGGCCAAUAAUAUCCUUGCGAGUGGGCCUGAUGAGCUAGAGAUCGACCUCUAGAAUGAUUGUCGCACACACCCUCAUGUAACUCAUCCAAUACAUACAAGGCUUCCGAGUGAUCCAGGCACCUAAGGUAGGGGCCUGUGAAGGAUCGCUUGUAGAGGUGCCCCCCGAUUAGGGUGAAACGGGCGGCUUGUACUCAGAUCUUAUGUGCCUGCCUGGGUUCUUCGGGCAAAGUUCCUAUUCGGAGAUACCUUAUUAUGACUUUCGUCCAUUCUUAGCCGUCUGUUUGGCUCGCCUCAAUAGUAUUGCAAGUGGAGGCUUCUGUGAUGGAGGGGUCAGUUUGCACGUGUAUGGGCAAUAAUAUGGCCUCUUUGAUGGGGAGGGAAACGGCUAUCCCUGCCAGGGUGUCGGCACGUCCAUUAUCAGCUCAUGGAAUUUUUUUCGAUUGUUCAUUCGACAAACCGUUGCAGGGUGUCUCUUACUUUAGUCAGAUAUCGCGCCAUGCGUUCAUCUUUGGCUUCGUAUUCCUCCUGGACGUGUCUUACCACGAGUUGGGAAUCACUGUAGAUUCGAAGCUUGGAGACAGAUAAGGCCAAGGCAAGAUCUAAUCCGAAUAGGAUGGCUUAAUAUUCUAUUUCAUUGUUAGACGCGAGGAAUCCCAGUCGAAUAGCUUGCUCUAGCUGUUCUCCCGUUGGGGAUUGCAGUAGGAGCCCUACUCCGGAUCCUGAUGACCGAGAGGCUUCAUCAACCCGCAAGGUCCACCACUCUUCUUCGCAUGGUUCUUUGCGUUGAGCAGGUUUUUGAGAGUAUUUUAGCAUGAAGUCAGCCAUUACCUGCCCUUUCAUGGACAAUCUCGGUUGGUAUUCAAUUUCGUACUCGCUCAACUCUAUGGCCCAUUGAAGCAUUCUUCCGGUCAGGUCCGGCUUGUGCAGGAUGUUGCGAAGGGGCUGGUCGAUCAGCACGACCACUGGGUGGGCUUGGAAGUAAGGGCGGAGCUUCUAGGCGGCACUUCGAAUGGCCAAAGCUGUUUGCUCCAUCUUUGAGUACCUUGUUUCUACGUCAGUCAAUGCCCUGCUAACAUAAUAAAUAGGUUUUUGCUCCUUAUGCGAGGGGCAGUGGAAUAAAACAGCACUAAUUGCCCACUCUGAUACAGCCAGAUACAUAUACAAUUUUUCUCCAGGGAGGGGGCUGCUUAGAAUGGGUAGUUGUAUGAGGUAGUGCUUGAUUUUCUCGAAAACGCUCUGGCAGCUGUUCGUCUACCCGUUCGCAUCGGCUUUUCGUAUUGCCAAGAAGAAGAGUCGCAAUUCAUCAGUGAAGCGGGCUAUGAAACGCCCUAGUGCGACAAGCUUGCUUGUGAGGCGAUGUAAUUCAUUUUUGCUCCUAGGGGGUGGUGUUUCCAUGACUACCUUAACUUGAUCCCUCUUUGGCUGACCAUGAACCUUAGGAAUUUUCCAGCACUUACGCCGAAAGCGCAUUUGGACGGAUUCAGUUUCAUGUCAUACUUCCUUAAGAUGUGGAAGACUUCUUGUAAGUGAAAGGCAUGUUCACUUCGGGUUUUGCUCUUAACCACGAUAUCAUCGAUGUAUAUCUCCACUGUGCGGCCAACUAGAGGUUUGAAGAUCUUCGUCAUCAAUCUCUAAUAGGUGGCGCCAUCGUUUUUAAGUCCGAAUGGCAUGACUUUAUAACAAUAAAGCUCAUGCAGCGUUAUAAAGGCUGUCUUUUCUUCGUCGACCGGAGCUAUGGGGAUUUGGUGGUACCCGGAGAAGGCAUCCAAGAAGGAGAGCAUUCCCUAUCCGGCGGUGGAGUCUACGAUCUGGUCUAUCCGUGGUAGAGGGAAACUGUCUUUUGGGCAUGCGUUGUUGAGGUUGGUGUAAUCGACGCACACUCGCCAUUUGCCUUCUUUUUUGGGGACCACUACUACAUUUGCUAACCAGUCCGGAUACUCCACUUCUCUAAUAAAUCCGACCUCCAGCAAUUUGUCAAUCUCAUCCUGGAUAAUUUUUUGCCUGUCUGGGUGAAAAUGUCUAACCCUCUGUCGGACAAGUCUUGUUGUUGGCAAGACGUUAAGCCUAUGAGAGGUGAUUGAAGGGUGGUUCCCUUCAUGUCAAAAUGCGGCCAUGCAAAGACGUCAUGGCUUUGUCGGAGGGCGUCGUGGAUGUCUUGUGCUUCUUCGGGUGUCAAGAGGGAACUGAUAUGUGUGAGGUGAGUACUUUCUUCCGAUAUCUUGAUUGUCUGCAAGGGAUUCACUGCCGAGGGAUCUUUGUCCUCCGGAUUCAGUAAUUGUUAUUGGUCAAGUGCGCUGGUGGGUUCAGGGAGGGGCUCGUCGCCCUUGCUGAUCCCACCUUCUAGCACUAUCUGAUAGCACUGGCGGGCAGCCAACUGGCUACCGUAUAGAUUGGUUUGUCCAUCUUUAGUAAGAAAGCUCACCAUCUGAUGGUACGUGGAAGGGAUUGCUUUCAUAUAGUACAACCACGCGCGUCCUAAGAUGACGUUGAAGGGGGACAAAUCUCCUACCACUGAAAAUUGUACGUUAAGGGUGACUUGGACUGGCAGCACAAUGUCUCCAAGGGAGGUGGUUGCUACGCCAUUAAAUCCCAACAAGACCCACCCAGGAUUUUCUAAGUCGGAUAGUUCGAGACCCAUUUGAUUAACUACUGAUGCCUGCAAAAGAUCGAUCGAGCUUCCUGGGUUGAUUAGGAUCUAUCUUACAUCAAAGUCUCCCAUCACCAGAGAUAGGAUGAGGGCGUCACGGUGCGGUUGUAGUAUUCGCGUGGGAUCUACGGGAGGAAAAAUGAUUGUCCCAUCUACUGGCUGGGCACUUCCCUCAGUUGCUCCGGUCUAAAUGGUAUUGACGCGCUCGCGUACCGAUGUCGCCCGCAGCAACUUCUGCCUCUUUCUUUUGGAGUUGUACUCCUCAUCCAGAGGUCCUCCAUGAAUAUAAUUGAUGAUGGCUUUGGGGGAGAUUGGGGUCCUGAGGGACCCGGAAUCGCGAUUUCGGGGGGUAUCUCUACCUCUGGCAUCUGAGCAGAGGUAUUGCUUCAAAUGUCCCACUUUUAUGGGCCUUUCCACCAAAUACUGGAGACUCCUGCACGUCUUCAUAGUGUGACCAUGCUCCUUAUGGUAGGCACACUUCUGGCAAUGAUCUCUUUUGGCUGGGUCCGUUCUGAGGGGUCCGGGCCACCUGAAGCCGGACAGGUCCUGGAUCAUAGGGAGGAGUUUCUCAUAUGAUAUGGAAAGGGGUGUGAGUGGUGGCAGUUCUGGGCGACUGGGCUCUCCCUGCCUUCGUUCGGACGGCCUUGACCGGUCUAGAAGUUUGGAACUUCUUUCCGCACCGGUUCUGUAUGUCUGCCCAGCAACCAAAAUUUGUUGGGUGGCCGCACGCACGUCGUCUUCCAGCAUUGAGUAUUUGCUCGCGCGCCGGAACAGGUCAUCCAUUGUCGUGGGAGGCUUCUUAGCGAGCGACUUGAAGAAUGGAGUGCCUGGGCAUAUGCUUCGUUUGAAGAUCUGAAGGACAACAUCCAUGCUAUAAGCCUCUACUUGUAACACAGCUUGACCGAACCGUUUCACUAAUUCUCUCAAAGACUCAUUCUCCUGCAUUUUUAUGUUUUGCAGAGUGCUGAUGUUCUGUUUAUGCCGAGCGGAACACAAGUAUUGCCCCACAAAAGCUUCCGACAGGUCCCUGAAGUUAUCAACAGAGUUCGGGGGUAGUCGGUGAAACCAUGAGAGAGCCUGACCUUGUAGGCUGGUGGGGAAUACUUUGCAUAGCAACGCGUCGUUUCCUAUAUCGAGAGUCAUGAGUUGUCGAUAAUGCAUGAUAUGGUCGAAGGGAUCGCUGGACCCAUCAUACGUGGAAAAUUUUGGUACGAGAAAUCUCCUUGGGGAGUCGUAAUGAAUAAUAUGUGAGCAAAAAGGCAUGGAAAGCAUGUCAUCCAGCCUCUUGCUGAUGGAGCCAGUGGGUGGCUCAUUUGGAGAGUUUCUUCCAGCUUGUCGUACCGCUUGGUGCGGGAGGAUGUUCUACACAACGAGUGCGAUCAAAGGGUUAGGGUACGCUUCCCAAGUUGUGGCCACUGGUGGCCUUAUCUUCCCAGGCUCCUGUGGGCCUAGCCUUGCGCGCAUCGCGUCCGACAGUUGGGGUCUCUUGUCGCGUUGUCUCUUUGAUGAGAGAUGAGUAGAAUCUAAGCUUUCAUCCUGGGGAGCUUGGUGCAUGGGCGUGGGCCGUUCUUGAGGUUGAUUAUUGCACCUCAGGAAUGACCCCCGCAAUCCCAAGAUAUAUCGAUUCUGGAUCAGGCCUCGAAUUUGCUCCCUGGCCUCUUGAGCGCUGGCCAUGAGAAGGCCCCGUCGAUGAAGCCUGGAUGCGUAACACAGUGUUUUCUUCUCUCAAUCUCGUUGUUUCUUGGAGGAGAGCCUGCAUUUGUCGCUUACUCUCCAACUUUCGUCUUUCCAUGGCUUCACGCCAUUCGAAAUAACCUUCACCUCCUCUAGCCGACGAGUGGCUCCUAGAAGGUGUGGACAUCUUCGCCGUCGACUGAGCAAAGUGUUCCCACAGACGGCGCCAAUGUUGAUGCCUUGCGUCCCAAGGAUCCACGCAGCUGCCAAGUGGACGGCGCUUUCAACCAAGAAUGAAUUCUGGCUCAGUCGAUCCUACAAAAGAUGUCCGGACACACCCUUCGAUGGUUUUGUUAGCCAUGGCUCAAUGGAUCAGGCUGUUGCCCUUUUUUCUGAGUUAGUUGGCCUACCUUCUUCUUUGCGUGAAGGUUCUUUUAUAUAGUGUCAGAAGCUCUGCUCCCCUCUUUAAUGGCGGGAAGACUUUUUGGCUUGUCAUGAUGUCUCUGAGGUGAUGGCAGAAUCAUCAUCACCUCCCAGGAGGCUGUCAAAAAUCGUGGGAGGUGACUUGCCAUCACUCCUGUCCUUUCGCUCUGCAGACGAUGAAACAUGGGCUGUGAUUUUAGUUAUCUCCGUCGGUGAAGCUUGAGGAGGAAAAAACAAAACACAAGGUCAUUUCGAUACUCUACGUACUCUUUAGGCUUUACCUGGACAUUAAGAAGAUAAUCAAAGAUUCCAAAGCAGAAUAUGACGAGAGGGAGGUUUGUGGUUUGGUACGUAUUGUAGCUUCAGAUUUGGUCUGUCCCAUAGAGUAAAAGUGAUGGUCCCCAGUUUAAAGCAACGAGGUAAUUUUAUCAUUGAAUUUGCUAGAUUUAGAAGGAUUCAUCGUUUCAAUAUGAUGCCACUUAUUAAUUGUUUCCCGGUAUUCCAGACAUGCUCUUGCUUACAACUCCAAGACAAACGCAUCUCUUUAGAGGCACUGUCCUUGAGAAAUGGUGAUGUUCCUCCAAGCUGUGAGAAAAUCCAAGGGGUUUUUCCCGAGGAUUCUCAAUGUGUGGCCCCGUUGGGUUGAACUGUCCGGGUUAGAAGGUGGAGUGGACUGGGUUGGCUCAACCAUCUCGGAAUAUGGAUUCUGCGUCAAGGGUUCGGCUGCAUCAUGUUGGAGAUGGACUGAUUGGCCCAUGUUUUUGUAAGGGAGUCGAAUCUCAGAGACUGGGCCUAGAUUGAGAAAUUGCAACCAUGCAAUAAAGCCCGUGUGACGUGCUCUUGGAGAUCAAAACAUGAUCCGUAUAACAAACAACCUACUGCCGACCUACACCACAGAUCGUGGUGCUGGCCACCCGUACGGUCUAGAGACCACAUGUACAAGCUCAUGACGCUAUUCCUUCCUAUCACCAAUUUGGAAAUGGCCCACCUAAGAAACAUGUAGCCAUGAUCAAACGGGAAUCCCAUGAUGAGAAAUUGUAGAGAAGAGUUAAAAAUAAAAAAUAAAAAGAAGAAAAAAGAAAGGUCAAUACCACUCGAUCAGGUUCCAGAAAAGGGCAUGUGGAAUAAGAAAUUAAUGCACUGAACGCGAACCAUGGCAGUCCCUCUAUGACAACACCAGUUAAUAGUCGUGUUGUGUCCCCACCUUCUGGAAAUGCCAUCCCUCCCACCAAAUCUCGGUAAUCAAAAUAAAAUGGGUUAUUAUCUUCAACUGCUUGCGUGCCCAAAUCAAUCACGUUUCCGAUAAGCAGUAUAGUUAGUUCUCUCAUUAACAUUUCUUCAGGAUCAAGGAUAUUAUUGAUUUUCAUUGACUUGCUCCUAUUUUGCAUUGGUUGAUGGAGAUAAACACACACAUAUUAAUCCUGAUCUUAAAAAUUGGUAUUAAAUCUGUUCAAGGAACCUAGUCAAGGAAAGCAUAAUCUUGAUUGAAACCUUGCACGCACAGCAUUGUCCACUUGUGGUUUAGCCUGGAUGCUUCUGAAAGCAUCAUGAAUGGAUUCCGAGACUUGUGGUUUAUGCCUGCAUGUUUCUGAAAGCAUCGUGGAUAGGUUCCAAGACCUCAUCAUUACUAGUUUCCCACCCCAAAAUUCCAAGAAGCCACCAAAAUACUCCUUUGAAUGGCUGCACAGGAUUUACACACUAGAAGAAGCCAAAAAAAUGAGACCCUUGGCUGAAGCAUAAUUGGACCCUUGUAAGUCUUUUACUAGAAGAAGCCAAAAAAAUGGGACCCUUUGGCUGAAGCAUAAUUGGACCUUUGUAAGUCUCUUAAUAGAAGAAGCCAAAACAAUGGGACCCCUUGGCUGAAGCAUAAUUGGGACUCUUCAGGCACAUACGGCAUGUGCAAAUAUCUAGAUAUUUUAAUCCCAAGUAAAAUGAUGCUCCUUUUUUCGUAUUCUUUUGUUUGACGUAUGCAUCAGGAUCGGACCGCAUCUAUGUUAUUUUUUAUUCCAAAUUUCAAAUAAAGACGAGACUUCGCUACAAAAUUGUCAACGCCUUUGGGACCCAUAAACCUUUUCUCAAACAAUGAUUAAAGGCAAAUUUUUGUAUUGAUAUAAUGCAACUAGCCAACCAUAUGGGUGUAAGGAUGAGCAUGCAAUCCCAUCAAAAUGGCUUCUGGACCCACACUAUCUUAGUUCGUGGCAGUCAAAUCGCAAUAUAAUAGACGGGGAGUGUUAGAUUUUCUUAAUGAGGUCCAGAAGUCUUGUCCAUAAUCUUUAGGAAUAAUACUAGACUUUGUCAAAUGGGUCUAAAAAUCUAACCCAUAAUAUUUUGACAUUUCCGUCUAUGUAAUCAUGGUUAGGUCCCUAAUUCUUUAACCUCUAUUCACACACAUGUAUCAUCGUUUAAGAUUGAUUAAAAGUUUAAAAACAUCACAACUUAUUUCAAUAUCAAAUUUGAUUUUCGAAUUCCUGAACUAUCAACUAUAGAAAAUAUGUUUUGAUUCUUCAUUUAUUUUUAUAUUUAAUAUAUGUCAUUAAGGUUUUAAGCAUAUUUAGAUUGAUUUUAACACUUAUAAUUGGUAUUAAAACCAUUUUAUUGUCUCUACCUUAAUUAUGUGCAACCUAAAAAAAUUGAUUAUGUGCCUUAAUUAUUUUCUUUUAAUCCUUAUGGUAAAAAAAAUUUCUUACGAAUUUGGAAGAAAACUGUUUGUAUUAUGCUUUUGAAAGAUGAAGAAGUCAAGUUUUGGGCAUGAAAAAUGAGGGCUAUUAAUAUCCAAUCGAUCCCUACCUCCCCUUACAACUUUUACAGUGCAAUGGCCUAGCUAUACCCCUAUUGAUGGGAGCAAGUUGUAGAGUUAUGAUUGUAUGUUGUCCAUAUUAUAGAGAUUUUGAUAUAGUGGUUUAUAGUUUUGAAUCAUUCUUUACAACUUGUAACAAUUGUAUCAUUAUUCCUUUUAAGAGAAAAGGGGUAUAUAGUGGUUAAUAUGUCCUUGUCAACACCCUUUAAAAUCAAAUCCCACAUUUUCUUCAUAAAGUAAUAUAGAUUAGGUACGAACUUCCAGUUUUUAAAUCUGGAAAGCUAUCAAAAAUUAGACAUUUAUACCAAUAAAAAAUAUGAAAAUUUUCCAGAAAUUUAAAAUUUUGGAUAUUUUGUGAAAAUUUCAUAAAUUUGGUAUUUUUGUGAAAAAAAAAAAUCAUAUUUUUGGUGUUUUUAUGAAAAAUACAUAAAUUUGGCAUUUUAUGAAAACCAUUUUGUGGAAUUAAAAUUUGGAUAUUUAUGUGCUUAAAAUCAUGUCUUUUUUGUAUGUAUAAUUUAUUGUUUUCAUUAUAUAUGUAAUUUGAAUUUUUACUAUAUAAAUUUAAACAGUGUUCAUAUAUGUAAAUAUUGCUUAUGGUUGCAUGCAAUUUAUAUAAACAGUUUUGUGAAUAAAAUUAAAUAUCUAUUGAUCUAUAUAAUUUUAAUUAAUUAGGGAUUAGCCACAACAUCUUUAAUUAUGUAAAAUUAUAUAUUAAGUACUUUAGGAUCACAUAUAUAAAAAUGACAUUGAUUGUAAUUAAUCAUAUUUAAAUAUAAUAAAUUUUAUCCUUUAUCAUAUUUGUAUUAUUAAUAAUGAUAGAAUAUCAAAUUAUAUUCUUAAUUUACCUAUAGGAAUUAGGAAAGGAACAUAAUUGAUAGUUUUAUCAUAAAGUUAGAUGAAUCUAAUUGAAUUAGAACUUUAGUACACAUACAAGUUUUAUGUCACUACUUCAUAUUUUUGAAACAUGAUUUAUAUUGGUAAAACAUGAUAUAUAUUUAUUAACCUCAAAUUACUAUUAUAUAAGCAUGUAUGUUUAAUAUUUAUGCAGUUAUGCAAUCUGUGAAUUUUUCCGAUAUAAGAUGUGAUAUUCUUGAACUAAAGGGUGACAACUACAAAGUAUGAAAGGAAAGAAUUCUCUUUCAUUUGAGGUAGAUGGACAUUGAUUAUGUUAUUAGGAAAGACGAACCAAGCAUUACCACAACUAGCACUGUAGAUGAAAAGGCUCUUUAUAAAUGAUGGGUGUGAUCCAAUUGCCUUAGUGUGAUGUUCAUAAAAAACAAAAUCUCUACUGGUAUUCAAUGUUCAGUUGAUCAACAUGAUAAAGUUAAGGCAUUAUUAAAGGCUACUGAUGAACAAUUUCAAACUUCAGAUGAGACACUUGCCAGUACCUUGAUUAUGAAGUUUUCAUCCUUAAGGCUCACCAGUGUAAGAAGUGUAUGUGAACACAUCAUGCAAAUGAGGGACAUUGUAACUCAACUAAAAACUCUUGAGGUUGAAAUGUUUGAAUCUUUCCUUGUGCACUACAUACUGAACACUUUUCCACAACAACUUCUGACCAUGUGUGUUCAAGAGGUAUGGAGGUUGGUAAUGGAAAUUGGUGAGAAUGCAUUAUUCGCAAAACAAGGAAAUAACCAAAACCAAGCCAAAAAAAAAAAAAAAAAAGGAAAGGUAAAAUACUGCCCCAAUGAGAAAUAAAAAAAGAAUCCAAGUGCUUCAUCUGCAAAAAGAAAGGACACAUGAAGAAAAAUUGCUCCAAAUUUCAUAAAUGACUUGAGAAAAAAGGUAAACCAAUCUCAUUUGUUUGUUAUGAAUCUAAUAUGGUUGAUGUUAAGCAUGACACAUUGUGGAUUGAUUCUAGUUCUACAAUCCAUAUUUCAAAUACCUUGUAGGGUACACAAAACCUAAGGAAGCUAGUGGGAAGUGAGUAGUGCAUCUAUUCAAGAAACAAGAUGCAUUCAUAUGUAAAAGCUCUUGGAACAUGCACUUUAGUUUUAAGUAGUGGUUUUGUUCUAAAUUUGGAAAAGACAUUUUACAUUCCAAGUUUUUCUAAGAAUUUGAUUUCAGUUUCAAGACUUGUUCCUUUUGGUUAGUCCUUUUAACUUUUCAAAAACAUCAUUUAGUUUAUUUUAUAAAUCUAAUCUUGUUGGGAAUGGUACAUUGUCUAAUAGUCUUUUCUUUAUUAAUUUGCAAAAUGAUACUACUCAUAAUGUUAUGCAUCUUCACACUGGUGUUAAACGAUGUGUUAUGAAUGAAGAUUCCUUUAUGUUAUAGCACCGAAGAUCAAAACAUAUCUCAAUAGAAAGAAUUAAGAGAUUAGUAAAUUAUGGAGUAUUUAGUACUUUGGAUUUUACUGAUUUUGAUAUUUGUAUGAACUUCAAUAAGAGAAAAUAGAUCAACAAGUAAAAAAAAAUGUGCUAAAAGGAGCAUAGACAUAUUGAAGAUCAUACAUUCAGACAUUUGUAGUCUAGACAUGGACUCAUAUGGUCUAAAAUACUUCAUCUCUUUCAUAAACGAUUACUCAUGAUACAUGUAUCUCUACUUGCUUCAUAACAAGAAUGAAACAUUAAAUGUUGUCAAGUUUUUAAGGCCAAAUUAGAAAAUCAAUAUGGAAACAAAUUAAGAUAAUGAGAACAAAUAGAGAUGGAGAAUAUUAUGGUAAAUACACUAACGAUGGACAAACACCCGGUCCAUUUGUGAAGUUUCUUCAAGAGCAUGGGAUAGUUGCCCAAUAUACCAUGUAUGGUUCUCCAUACUAGAAUGGCAUAGCAGAAAAAAUAAACUGAAUGUUAUUGGACAUGAUACAGAGUAUGCUUAGUAGCUCCAAGCUUAUUAAAUCCUUGUAGACUGAAGCUUUUAAAAUGACAAUGUAUAUAUUGAACCGAGUCCCAACUAAUGUUGCCCUAAAAACGUCAUUUGAAUUAUGGAAAGAUUGGAAACCGAGUUUGCAACAUAUACGCAUUUGGGGAUGCCCAUUUGAAGUAAGAGUUUACCACCCACAAGAGAAUAAACUAGACCUAAGGACCAUUAGUGGAUUUUUCGUUGGAUAUGCAAAAAGGUCUAAAUGGUACAUAUUCUACUAUCCCACAACACUAGGAUUGUGUAAUCAAGAAAUGCAAAAUUCCUUGAGAAUGACUUGUUCAAUGAGAAUAUCAAACCUAAAGCAUAGUCUCUGAGAAAGAUCAAUCUUCCAUUUCAAGUGAAAGGUUGGUUAUUAUUCACAACACCUCUCAAGUUCAAAUGGGAGUUGAGCAACCAAUCGUUGAAGUUCCACAAGCUAUUGAGAAUAAUCCAAUAGAUUAAGUUGUUCAGGAAAUGCCAAAAAUUGUUGAACAACCAAUUGAACAACAUAAUCCUCAGGAAAAUUUUGAUUCAACAUUAAAGAGAUCUACUAGAGCAAGGAAAUUAGCAAUUCCUAGUGAUUAUGUUAUGUAUCUAAAAUAAUUGGAUUAUAACAUUUGAGCCGAAAAUGAUCUUGAAACAUUUUCACAAGCCAUUAGUUGCGAAAGAUCAAAUUUAUGGUACAAUGCCAUGAAGGAUGAGAUGAAUUCUAUGGCAUCUAACGAAGUCUAGAAUCUUGUUGAGUUGUCUGAUAGUGCAAAAGUCAUAGGAUGUAAAUAGGCUUUUAAGACAAAAAAAGACUCAUUGGACAAUAUUGAAAGAUAUAAAGCAAGACUUGUUGCUAAAAAAUUCACUUAAAAGGAAAUAAUCGACUAUAAGGAGUCCUUCUCUCCUAUAUCUAAGAAAGAUUAUUUUCGUAUUAGUAUGACAUUGGUUACACAUUUUGAUUUAGAGGUACAACAAAUGGAUGUGAAAAUGGCUUUCCUUAAUAAAGAUCUAAAGGAAGAAGUUUACAUAAAACAACCAAAAGAAAUUUCCUCUAGAGAUGGUGAGCAUUUGGUGUGCAAGCUCAAGAAAUCCAUAUAUGGAUUGAAACAAGUCUCCCGUUAGUGGUACUUGAAAUUCCAUGAUGUUCGUUAUCUCUUCGUGUGGGUCUGUAGAGAAUAGUAUAAAUCAAUGUAUAUACCAGAAAGUUAGUAAGAGUAAAAUAUGUUUACUUAUUCUAUAUGUGGAUGACAUUUUACUUGCAACUAAUGAUAAGGGUUUGCUACAUGAGGUAAAACAAUUUCUAUUUAAAAACUGACAUGAAAUAUUUGGGUGAUGCUUCUUAUGUCAUUGGCAUUAAGAUACAUAGAGAUAGAUUUUGAGAAAUUUUGGGUUUGUCUCAAAAAACCUAUAUCAACAAAGUUUUAGAGAGAUUUUGGAUAAAAUAUUGUUCACCAAGUAUAGCUCCUAUUGUGAAUGGUGACAGGUUCAAUUUGCACUAGUGCCCAAAAAAUGAUAUUGAAAUGAAACAAAUGAAGAACAUUUCAUAUGUUUCUGUUGUUGGAAACUUAAUGUAUGCUCAAGUCUACAUAAGACUUGACAUUACAUUUUUUGUUAGGAUGUUAAGAAAAUAUCAAAGUAAUUCAGGUACAAACCACUGAAGAGUUGCAAAAAAUGUGUUAAGGUGUUUUCAAGGGACGAAGGACUACGUACUUAUGUAUAAACGGACUAAUAAUCUGGAGGUGAUUAGCUACUCAAAUUCAAACUUUGUUGGUUGUGUUGAUUCACAAAAAUCAACUUCUAGAUUCAUUUUUAUGUUCGUUGGUGGAAUUGUAUCCUGGAGGAGUGCAAAGCAAACUUUGUCUACUACUUCCACUAUAGAGGCUGAGUUUAUAUCUUGUUUUGAGGUUACCUCGCAUGGUGUAUGGAGGAAAAGUUUCAUUUUUUAACUUAGAAUUAUAGAUUCAAUUUCUAAGCUAUUUAGGAUAUAUUGCAACAAUUUAUGUGUAGUUUUUAUGGCUAAAAACAAUAAAAGUGGUAGUCGAAGCAAACACAUCAACAUCAAGUAUUUAGUCAUAAGGGAACAUGUUAAGAAGAAAAUAAUGGUUAUUGAAUACAUCAGCACUGAGUUGAUGAUAGUUGAUCCUUUGACAAAAGGCAUGCCACCAUUGAAAUUCAAGAAUCAUGUGAAUAGAAUGGGACUUCAUUCCUUUAUAUGAUUUUCGUUGUAAUAAUGAAUGUUAUUUGUGAUGAAACUUUAUUAAUGUGAUAAUAUUUUCUCUUAUUUGUUUCUAAUUUGUAUACACAUUCAUUCAUUUGAGAAAUAUUACUAAUGUUUGGACCUGAAAUAAACCUUAGGCUUAUUCAUUAAGUAAUGAAGGCAAGUGUUUAAGAGACAUGAUGCAUUGUGAUACAUGGAAGAUAAUACUUGUUUCAGAGAAUCUAUUGUCAUGAUUUGUGUAUUUUGUUUCUUACUAUGGUGAAUGAUGGAAUAUAUAGACCAAGUGGGAUAAUAUUAGAUUUUCCUAAACAGAUCUAGAAAUCUGGCCUAUAAUCUUCCAUUAAUUUUGGGAAUAAUGCUAGACUUAAAUAGGUCUAGAAAUGCUGUCUCUAUUAUUCUAGAAUUUCUAUUGAUUUAGUUUUACAUUUUUAUUGUCAUUAACAACCAUAAAUAAAUUAUGGUAUUGACUCUGUGAUGGGCAGGGUAAAUAUAAAUAGAGCCUUCGUGGUUAGGUCUCUAAGCUUUUGACUUCGAUUUUUAUUCAAAUACAUAUACACUAUUGUUUAAAAUUGAUUAAGAGUUUAGAAGCACCUCAACCCAUUUGAAGAUCAAAUUUGAUUUCUAAAUUCUCAAAUUGAGGUAUGUUCCUCUUCUCCUUUAUUUCCGCAUUUGAUAUAGGCUACACUGGAAGGACCCAGUGUUGUCUCUAUAAUUGACUCUUAUUUCGUCGUCAUGUUUCCGCCUCAAAAAACCCCGAUUCCUUGUUUACACACUGCUACCAAAGGGGAUAGAUUCCUUGUUUACACACUGCUACCACAGGGGAGAGAGGAGGAGAGCUACCAACCAAACAAUGGAGGUUGAAGCUCAGCUGAGCAGCAACACGAGGAAGGCUCUGCUGGUUCUGAGUUGUGUGAUUCUCUCAAUUGGACACUGCGGUGGUCCCUUGGUGAUGCGCCUAUACUUCGUCCGUGGCGGCGAGAGGAUAUGGUUUUCCAGUUGGUUGGAAACGGCUGGGUGGCCCUUGAUCCUAGUCCCUCUCAUCAUCACUUACAUGCACCGCCGAACUAAGCAAGGCUCCCAUGCCAAGCUCUUCUUCAUGAAACCUCCUCUGUUCGUAGCCUCCGCUGUUAUCGGUGUCCUCACCGCCCUCGAUGACUACCUCUACGCUUAUGGCGUAGCAAAACUGCCCGUUUCAACAAUUGCUCUCAUCAUCGCAAGCCAGCUCGCUUUCACAGCAGCCUUCGCAUUCCUCUUAGUGAAACAAAAGUUCACCUCAUACUCCGUAAAUGCCAUAUUUCUCUUGAGUAUUGGUGCUGGUGUCUUGGCUCUACACACUAGCUCCGACCGCCCUGCUAAUGAGUCCAACAAAGAAUAUUACCUCGGGUUUUUCAUGACACUUGCAGCUGCAGCGCUCUAUGGUUUCAUUCUCCCCCUGGUUGAAUUAACAUACAAGAAAGCAAAGCAGGCAAUAACCUACUCACUGGUCAUGGAGAUUCAAAUGGUGAUGUGCUUCUUCGCCACCUUCUUUUGCACAGUGGGGAUGCUGGUUAAUAAUGACUUUCAGGUGUAUUCCUCUUUUCUAUCCACCCAGUUACCUUUAACACAUUCAACCAGAUAGAACCACCAAAAACAAAGAUUGAUAAUUUAUGUUUGCUUCUUCCUCAUUUAAUUUUGUAGGCAAUUCCCAGAGAGGCAAAAGAAUACGAGCUUGGAGAAGCUAAAUAUUAUCUGGUGGUGGUAUGGAAUGGGAUCAUGUGGCAGUGCUUCUACUUAGGAGCAAUAGGAGUCAUCUUUUGCGCUUCAUCUUUGGUAGCCGGUAUUGUGCUUGCUGUCCUACUCCCCGUGACUGAGAUCUUGGCUGUUAUUUUCUUCCACGACAAAUUUCAAGCAGAGAAGGGGGUUUCACUUGCUCUCUCUCUUUGGGGUUUUGUUUCAUACUUCUACGGCGAGAUAAAGGAUAGCAAGAAAAAGAAGAAUCCCACUCCGGAGACGGAGCUGCCUCAAACAGUCAAUCCAUGAUAAACAAAUGUCUUUCUUUUCCCCACAGAAGAGGGGGGACAGGAUUCGCAUAUAAGCAUUUACUAGGGAAUUUAAAGAAACACUUCAUCUGUAUGUUACAGGCAGUUCAUAACCAAGACUAAAGUGGGUUUCUUUCCAGUUUUGAGAUGAAGGAAUUCCAAUAAAAUAUGGACUGUAAGGUCAAGGCGUGCUAAAUGUGAAGUCGAUACAGAGUGGGAAAAUAUGACAUAUUUUGAGACUUAAUAGUCAUAUCCAAUUUCUAUUAUCUAUAAUAUUAUAUAGUAUUAUAAAAUAAUCUCUCUCAUCCUUGGAUAUGGUUAAACUAUGUUAAAAUUUGAGUAUUCUGUUUAUGGUUGGUUUUAUCUCUGUAUGUUCUUAUUACAGCUUCCACUUAACACAUCAACUUAGUAUUAAAACCUUGGUUGAAUAUUUUUUAGAAGAACCAAAGAUAAUAGAAGAUUGUGGUCCAUGAAAAAAACCCUAACACACACUAUCAAUGUACAAUAGUGUAUACCAUAAAUAAAUAAAAAAGAAGAAAUAUUCACUUAAACGAAAUUUUUAACAGUAGAAAUGGUUGAAAAAUGCUUCCAAUUCCUAAAGAAUAUUUUAAAUAUUGAUUGGGAACUUGCAACAUUUCCCAAUAUUAGAAUCAAUAAGGAAACGGUCUUACUGAGAAAGAAUUGAAGUCAUCGUCAUCCAGGCAAGAUGAUGGGCCAUUAAGGUUAGGUUGGGAUCAAGAGAAGCUGGAUAUGGAUUGUUUUGUUAAUCCAGUAUAACUUAAAAGCUUAAUUAAGUUAUGUAAUAGUGGACCAACAGUGCACUUUGCACUGAUUUGGGUUACAUGUUAGGGUCGUAGCCCAAGUAGGUUGAUAUAUGAUGGUGGACCAACAACUGCAUGCGAAUGAAUGGCUAUGUGAAUUUCCUAAGACUCGGUUCAUUUCAACUUCUACUGAUUGCAUCGAAACUUUCGGGAAGAAUUGGCGUAUGGAUCUUCCCUAAAUGGGUGUUGACGCCGCCAAAAUAGGCACCUCCAAAUACAUGGCCUUAAGCCACCUACAGCAUAGCCGCCCAAGACGCAAGCAUCUGUAGCUAUCCAAAACGAGCUCGGCUAAAAAUAAGUGCCUGCAUAUGAGAUAUGACUCACAUCCAGGACUGGCAGGUUGACCGAACUGACCCUCAAAAGAAGGCCUCACCAACUCUUAAACAUUAUCGGAACAGGCUGGCAGGCUUUAACACAUGCCCUAACCAUAUAAACGUAAAAAAAAAAAAAAAGAAAAAAAAAAAGAAGAAGAUCAUAAUAAGACAAAAAGGGGAGAAAGAAAUUCUCUCGUCUACAGGUGUCGAAGCUUCAUUCAACACAGAGUUGUAAGAUUACCAAUGUUGGGUGCAGACCUAUCCUUUCUAGUUAUCUCCGCCGGUGAAGCUUGAGGAGGAAAAACAAACCACAAGGUCAUUUCGAUACUCUACUCUUUAGGCUUUACCUGGACACUAAGAAGAUAAUCAAAGAUUACAAAGCAGAAUAUGAGGAGGGAGGUUUGUGGUUUGGUACGUAUUGUAGCUUCAGAUUUGGUCUGUCCCAUAGAGUAAAAGUGAUGGUCCCCAGUUCAAAGCAACGAGGUAAGAGUUUUAUCACUGAAUUUGCUGGAUUUAGAAGGAUUCAUCGUUUCAAUAUGACGCCACUUAUUUAUUGUUUCGGGGUAUUCCAGGCAUGCUCUUGCUUACAAUUCCAAGACAAACGCAUCUCUUUAGAGGCACUGUCCUUGAGAAAUGGUAAAGUUCCUCCAAGCUGUGAGAAAAUCCAAGGGGUUUUUCCCGAGGAUUCUCCAUGUAUGGCCCCGUUGGGUUGAACCGUACGGGUUAGAAGGUGGAGUGGACUGAGUUGGCUCAACCAUCUUGGAAUAUGGAUUCAGCGUCAAGGAUUCGGCUGCACCAUGUUGGAGAUGGACUGACUGGCCCAUGUGUUCUGUAAGGGAGUCCAAUGGGCACCCAUGCAAUAAAAGCCCGUGUGACGUGCUCUUGGAGAUCAAAACAUGAUCCGUACAAUACAACUUACUGCCGACCUACGCCACAGGUCGUGGCGCUGGCACCCGUAGGGUCUAGAGACCACAUAUUCAAACUGAUAAUUACAGUAUUCAUUCCUGUCACCAAUUUCGAAAUGGCCCACCCAAGAAACAUGUGGAGCUUUCACCCAAAAUAUUGCGUUUUAAAAAAAAAUUUCAAAAAAUAAAGUUGUUUUAAAAAUAAUGUACGAUGUAAUAAAUAUAUACCACAUAAGCUGUCAUGGCAUAAAACUGUAGUUGAUGACUACGGUUUUAUUUUUUUAAAAUGGUUAGAAACCGUAGUUACCAACCACGGUUUUAACUUUAAGUUUAAAGCCGUAGUUGGUGACUACGGCUUUGACAUUUUUUUAAAAUGGUCAAAGUCAUAGUUACCAACUACGAUUUUAACUUUAUAUAUAUUUAUAUAUAACUUUAAUUUUUUUAAUAAAAAUAUUAUAUUAUUUUGAUUUUAAAUAUACUUAUUUCAUUAUUUUAAAAAUAAUAAUAUAUGAAAUUAAAUAAAUGAUAUUUUUAAUUUGAUAUAAAUAUAUUUUUAAAUUUUAUUAAAAUAAUAUAUUCUAUAUUUAAUAUAAAUAUAUUUAUUUAAUUAUAUUUAAAUAUAAAUAAAAUAUAAUAAAUUAUGAAAGCCUAUUAAAAAACAAAUAAUAUAAAUUAUUAUAUUAAUUAAUAAUUUUUUAUAUACUAUAUGUAAGUGGUAUAUAAUGUCACAUGUAUAUAAGUUCAAUUAAGUUUAAAAUUUAUCAUAUUUUAAUUUAAGUUCAUAAUAUUAUAUCGAUAUGAUAAUAAUUUAUUUAUAUAUUUAAAUAAAUAUGCUAAAUUUUAAACUUAAAUUAAAAUUAUAUAUAUAUAUAUAUAUGUGUGUGUGAUAUUAUAUACUAUUUACAUAUAAUAUAUAAAAAAAUUAUUAAUUAAUAUAAUAAUUCAUAUUAUUUUUUUCUCCAAAUAGGCAUUUAUAAUUUAUUUAUUUUAAAUAAACAUAAUUUAUUAUAUUUCAUUUAUAUUUAAUUUUAAUUAAAUAAUUAUAUUUAUAUUAAAUAUAGUGUCAAUUGUUUUAAUAAAAUUUAUUUAUAUAUUUAAAAAUAAUGUGAUAAAUUUUAAACUUAAAUUAAACUUUUAUAUAUAUAUAUAUAUAUAUAUAUAUAUAUAUGUGUGUGAGAGAGAGAGGUAUUAUAUACCACUUAUAUAUAAUAUAUAAAAAAAUUAUUAAUUAAUAUAAUAAUUUAUAUUACUUUUUUAUUUUUCUAAAUAGGUAUUUAUAAUUUAUUUAUUUUAAAUAAAUAUAAUUUAUUAUAUUUUAUUUUAAUUAAUUAAUUAUAUUUAUAUUAAAUAUAGUGCCUAUUGUUUUAAUAAAAUUUAAAAUAUAUUUUUAUAUCAAAUUAAAAAUAUCAAUUAUUUAAUUUCGUAUAUUAUUAUUUUUAAAAUAAUAAAAUAAGUAUAUUUAAAAUCAAAGUAAUAUAAUAUUUUUAUUAAAAAAAUUAAAAUUAUAUAUAAAUAUAUAUAAAGUUAAAACCGCAGUUGGUGACUACGGUUUUGACCAUUUUUAAAAAAAAAAAUCAAAGUCGUAGUCACUAACUACGACUUUAAACUUAAAGUUAAAACCGUGGUUGGUAACUACGGUUUCUAACCACUUAAAAAAAUAAAACCGUAGUCACCAACUACAGUUUUAUGACAUGGCAGUUUAUGUAGCACAGACGCAUUAGAUCGGUCAUUAUUUUCAAAGCAAUUUUAUUUUUUGGAAUUUUUUUUUAAAACACACUAUUUUGGGUCAAAGCUCAAUGGCCAUCAAACGGGGAAUCACGUGAUGAGAAAUUGAAGAGAAGAAUUAAAAACAAAAAAUAAAUAAAAAGAAGAAAAGGAAAGGUCAAUACCCCUCAAUCAGUUUCAAGAAAAGGGCAUGUGUUAUGAGCAAUGCACUGAAACGCGAACCAUUUCAGCCCUCCAAAGGACAACACAAGUUAAUAGCCCGUGUGGUCCCAACCUUCUGGAAAUACGAUUCCUCCCACCAAAUCUUGGUAAUCAAAAUAAAAUGGGUUAUCAUCUUCAACUGCUUUGCAUGCCUAAUGAACAUUGUUUUCGAUUACCAGUAUAGUUAGUUCUCUCAUUAACAUUUCUUCAGGAUCAAGGAUAUUGUUUUCAUUGACUUGCUCCUAUUUUGCAUUUGUUGAUGGAGAUACACAACGCACACACAUUAAUCCUAAUCUUAAAAAAUGGUAUUAAAUCUGUUCAAGGAAGCUAAGCAGGAAGAGCAUAAAACCUUGCAUUCACAGCAUUGUCGAUUUGUGAUUUAGCCCGGAUGCUUCUGAAAGCAUUAUGGAUAGGUUCGAAGCCCUCAGAAAUUAGACUAAUGCCAUGUUUACGUCAUCAUUACUAGCUUUCACACCAAAAUUCCAAAAAGAUAAACGCUAUGGUAUUAGUUUAAUGUUUAUCUCAUUGCCACCACACUAGUCAUCUAGAAGGUUUUACUGCUUUGAAUGGCUGCACAGGGUUUACACAAUAGAAGUAAAAAAAUGGGGCCUCUUCGCUGAAGCAUAAUUGGACUCUUGUGAGUCUAACCAUUAAUCUGGAACUGGAAAGCUGCCCUCUUUUAUUUAACUCCUAUAAUGAAGAUAAUGAUCCGAGACAUCAAUGUUUUCAACGAAAACUGGAUCGCUACACUUGGAUGUCCAGCAAAUUUUCAAUUUAAAUAAUGUACAAGACAAUCAAGGAGGUGAAAAAAAUUGAUGAAGCGAAUCAACAGUUUCUGAUACCAAUUUCAGGCACAUACGGCAUGUGCAAAUAUCUAGAUAUUUUAAUCCCAAAUAAAAUAAUGGUUCCUUUUUUCGUUUUCUUUUGUUUGACGUAUGCAUCAGGAACGGAACAUAUCUUAUAUUAUUUUGAUUCCAAAUUUCAAAUGAAGACGAGAUUCCAUAACUGAAUUGUCAACACGACCUUUGGGACUGAUGAACCUUAUUCAAACAAUGAUGAAAGGCAAAUUUUUGUAUUGAUAUAAUACAACUAGCCAACUGUAUGGGUGUAAGGAUCAAGGAAGACUAGGAAAUUUCGAAGGAUGAGACUACAACCCCAUCAGAAUGCCUUCUGGACCCACACUAUUUUAGUUCGUGGCAGUCAAAUCGCAAUAUAAUAGACGUAGGGAAGGACCCAAUGUUAUCACUAUAAUUGACUCUUAUUUCGUCGUCAUGCACCGCCUCAAAAAACCCGAAUUCCUCUUGGCACUGCGACUUCAAGGGAGAAGGAGAAGGAGUAGGAGAGGGGAGAGGGGAGAGGGGAGAGGGAGGGAGAGCUACCAACCGAACAGUGGAGAUGGAAGCUCAGCUGAGCAGCAACAUGAGGAAGGCUCUGCUGGUUCUGAAUUGUGUCAUUCUCUCAAUUGGAAACUGCGGUGGUCCCAUGGUGAUGCGCCUGUAUUUCGUCCGUGGCGGCGAGAGAAUAUGGUUUUCCAGUUGGUUGGAAACGGCUGGGUGGCCCUUGAUCCUAGUCCCUCUCAUCAUCACUUACAUCCACCGCCGAACCAAGCAAGGCUCCCAUGCCAAGCUCUUCUUCAUGAAACCUCCUCUGUUCGUGGCCUCCGCUGUUAUCGGUGUCCUCACCGGCUUCGAUGACUACCUCUACGCCUAUGGCGUAGCAAAACUGCCCGUUUCAACAUCUGCUCUCAUUAUCGCAAGCCAGCUCGCUUUCACAGCAGCCUUCGCGUUCCUCUUGGUGAAACAAAAGUUCACCUCAUACUCCGUAAAUGCCAUAUUUCUGUUGAGUAUCGGUGCCGGUGUCUUGGCUUUACACACUAGCUCCGACCGCCCUGCUAAUGAGUCCAACAAAGAAUAUUACCUCGGGUUUGUCAUGACACUUGCAGCUGCAGCGCUCUAUGGUUUCAUUCUCCCCUUGGUUGAAUUAACCUACAAGAAAGCAAAGCAGGCAAUAACCUACUCACUGGUCAUGGAGAUUCAAAUGGUGAUGUGCUUCUUCGCCACCGUCUUUUGCACAGUGGGGAUGCUGGUUAAUAAUGACUUUCAGGUGCAUUUCUCUUUUCUCUCCACUCAAUUACCCUAACAUAUUGAACCAGAUAGAAGAUUGAUAAUUUAUGUUUGCUUCUUCCUCAUAUAAUUUUGUAG